GGGGCUGUAAGGGUUUUGACGGGAAGCUGCGGUGGCACAAGCUGCGAGCCGAGGAUGUCAUCUUAACCUCGUUAAUAAUGGUGGCACAUCUUUAAAUGCAGAUGUUAAACAAGCAGCCAGAGUAGCCGGGAGAAGCGUGCAACAGCUUAUGGCUUUGUGCGUAACUCCUGCCGAAAUGGCCGUCGCUGCUUAAUUAAAUAAGCAGCCCGUCCCCUGGAUUUGCCGAUAGGUUCAGGCAAGGACGUUAUUUUAUCGGCUGCUGUUUUGGCUGUUCCUCAAGGCCAAGGCGGGAGACAAAAUUGGGGAUAAGCCGGGAAAAACCCCGCUUUGGGUCAAAUCCCGGACGAAAACAACAAUCAAAGCUACGCUCGUAGCGGCGGGUGAAACUGCCUUUUCGGACGGGGGUCCGACUCCCCCCAGCUCCAUUU
rnacentral:tmRNA from 1 species